AGAGUGUGCUUCUGGCUCAGGAUGAACGCUGGCGGCGUGCCUAACACAUGCAAGUCGAACGAAGUUACACAGAGGAAGUUUUCGGAUGGAAUCAGUAUAACUUAGUGGCGGACGGGUGAGUAACGCGUGGGAAACCUGCCCUGUACCGGGGGAUAACACUUAGAAAUAGGUGCUAAUACCGCAUAAGCGCACAGCUUCACAUGAAGCAGUGUGAAAAACUCCGGUGGUACAGGAUGGUCCCGCGUCUGAUUAGCCAGUUGGCAGGGUAACGGCCUACCAAAGCGACGAUCAGUAGCCGGCCUGAGAGGGUGAACGGCCACAUUGGGACUGAGACACGGCCCAAACUCCUACGGGAGGCAGCAGUGGGGAAUAUUGCACAAUGGGGGAAACCCUGAUGCAGCGACGCCGCGUGAGUGAAGAAGUAUUUCGGUAUGUAAAGCUCUAUCAGCAGGGAAGAAAAUGACGGUACCUGACUAAGAAGCCCCGGCUAACUACGUGCCAGCAGCCGCGGUAAUACGUAGGGGGCAAGCGUUAUCCGGAUUUACUGGGUGUAAAGGGAGCGUAGACGGCAUGGCAAGCCAGAUGUGAAAACCCAGGGCUCAACCUUGGGAUUGCAUUUGGAACUGCCAGGCUGGAGUGCAGGAGAGGUAAGCGGAAUUCCUAGUGUAGCGGUGAAAUGCGUAGAUAUUAGGAGGAACACCAGUGGCGAAGGCGGCUUACUGGACUGUAACUGACGUUGAGGCUCGAAAGCGUGGGGAGCAAACAGGAUUAGAUACCCUGGUAGUCCACGCGGUAAACGAUG
rnacentral:rRNA from 1 species